rnacentral:rRNA from 1 species
CCUACGGGUGGCAGCAGUGAGGAAUAUUGGUCAAUGGACGAGAGUCUGAACCAGCCAAGUAGCGUGAAGGAUGACUGCCCUAUGGGUUGUAAACUUCUUUUAUGUGGGAGUGAAAUGUUCCACGUGUGGGAUUUUGUAUGUACCAUAUGAAUAAGGAUCGGCUAACGCCGUGCCAGCAGCCGCGGUAAUACGGAGGAUCCGAGCGUUAUCCGGAUUUAUUGGGUUUAAAGGGAGCGUAGGUGGAUUGUUAAGUCAGUUGUGAAAGUUUGCGGCUCAACCGUAAAAUUGCAGUUGAAACUGGCAGUCUUGAGUACAGUAGAGGUGGGCGGAAUUCGUGGUGUAGCGGUGAAAUGCUUAGAUAUAACGAAGAACUCCGAUUGCGAAGGCAGUUCACUGGACUGCAACUGACACUGAGGCUCGAAAGUGUGGGUAUCAAACAGGAUUAGAUACCCCAGUAGUC